rnacentral:rRNA from 1 species
CGUGUAGGCGGGGCGGUGCGUCGGUCGUUGAAAUCCCCCGGCUCAACCGGGGAAGUGGCGCCGAUACGACCGCCCUGGAGCGACGUAGGGGGGACUGGAACUUCCGGUGGAGCGGUGAAAUGCGUUGAGAUCGGAAGGAACGCCCGUGGCGAAAGCGAGUCCCUGGACGUCGGCUGACGCUGAGACGCGAAAGCCAGGGGAGCGAACG